rnacentral:rRNA from 1 species
UACGAAGGGGGCUAGCGUUGUUCGGAAUUACUGGGCGUAAAGGGCGCGUAGGCGGACAGUUUAGUCAGAGGUGAAAGCCUCCAGCUUAACUGGAGAAGUGCCGUGGAUACUGCGGAUCUUGAGGAGGGUAGGGGCAUCUGGAACGUUGGGUGGAGCGGUGAAAUGCGUUGAUAUCCAACGGAACUCCGGUGGCGAAGGCGAGGUGCUGGACCCUUUCUGACGCUGAGUGCGCGAAAGCCAGGGGAGCGAACGGG